rnacentral:rRNA from 1 species
UACGUAGGGUGCAAGCGUUAAUCGGAAUUACUGGGCGUAAAGCGUGCGCAGGCGGUUAUGCAAGACAGAUGUGAAAUCCCCGGGCUCAACCUGGGAACUGCAUUUGUGACUGCAUAGCUAGAGUACGGUAGAGGGGGAUGGAAUUCCGCGUGUAGCAGUGAAAUGCGUAGAUAUGCGGAGGAACACCGAUGGCGAAGGCAAUCCCCUGGACCUGUACUGACGCUCAUGCACGAAAGCGUGGGGGAGCAAACAGG